rnacentral:rRNA from 1 species
UGGGGAAUAUUGGACAAUGGGCGAAAGCCUGAUCCAGCCAUGCCGCGUGUGUGAAGAAGGUCUUCGGAUUGUAAAGCACUUUAAGUUGGGAGGAAGGGCAUUUACCUAAUACGUAAGUGUUUUGACGUUACCGACAGAAUAAGCACCGGCUAACUCUGUGCCAGCAGCCGCGGUAAUACAGAGGGUGCAAGCGUUAAUCGGAAUUACUGGGCGUAAAGCGCGCGUAGGUGGUUUGUUAAGUUGGAUGUGAAAGCCCCGGGCUCAACCUGGGAACUGCAUCCAAAACUGGCAAGCUAGAGUACGGUAGAGGGUGGUGGAAUUUCCUGUGUAGCGGUGAAAUGCGUAGAUAUAGGAAGGAACACCAGUGGCGAAGGCGACCACCUGGACUGAUACUGACACUGAGGUGCGAAAGCGUGGGGAGCAAACAGGAUUAGAUACCCCCGUAGUCCCUGAGCGGGCUGGCAAGGCGCAU